rnacentral:lncRNA from 1 species
UACUCGGGAGGCUGAGGCAGGAGAAUGACGUGAACCCAGGAGGCCAAGCUUGCAGUGAGCUGAGAUCACACCACUGCACUCCAGCCUGGGGGACAGAGUGAGAAUCCAUCAAAAAAAAGAAACAAGAAUACAAUAGCACAAUUCAUGUGACAACCACAUGUAGGUUUAGUGAUGUUUGUUCUCUGUGAAGCUAAGCUAUCUCAGCUAGGUGGUUGAGGACAUUUGUACUGUCUGGACUAGGCAGAGGUGAAUAUGAUUGAAUGUGUAAGACAGUGCCAAUUAUGUACCAUAUAUAGCUGUGUGUGUUUCCUUCUGUCUAAAAUAUCAACCUAUGCUUGCCUUUAAUCUCAUCCUCAAUUGCAAUGCUCAAAACCCCUCCUAGUGUCAUUAUAUUGUCAAAAAAUACUCUGAAUCACAGGUUUAGAGAGAUAAAAAUUCUAACUUCUCUUAAAGAAACAACGUCUGAAAAUCUUUUCAUUUGUGUUGUUCCACAUGAAAUGACUUUAAGUGUUGAAUGUGCACAUUAUUCCUACAUUCUGAGACUUAGAUUUAUAGCUUAUGAGUUGUCCUUCUAAAGGUAUACUCUUCAUAUGCCAGUGACUCCCCAGCUUAUACAGCAGUUAUGCCUUAUUGGUGAGGGAUGCGUUCAAAGACUCCUUGUGGAUGCCUGAAACCUGUUACCAAACCCCAUAUAUCUCUAGUGCACAUCUAAAUCUGUGUUUAGACGAACAGAACCAGCUUUGUACCCGAUUAUCUUCACCAAGAUGUCUGACUUACGUAAAUCUCAAACUUGUCGUAUUUAACACAAAGUUCUUAAUUUCCUUCCUUUUUCAAGCCCACUUCUGCUGUGUUUUCUGUUUAAGUAAAUAACACUCAUCCAUUUAGUUAUGUCAAAAACCUAGGAAUUAUCCAUGACUUCUCUCUUACUCUUUCUGCACUUUAAAUGCAUCAGCUAGUACUGUCUUCAAGAAUGUAUCCUUUUUACCCAGUCCUCGCCAUCUCCUUUACUAUCCCCCUUGCCCAAGCCACUAUACUUUCAUCCUGCUGUGGAAGCAGUUUUCCAACCCUCCUUACUCUCCUUUUGACCACUUAAUAUACAUUCUUCACUAGCCAGAACAAUCUUUGAAAAAUGUAACCUACCAUAUGUCACUCCCCAUUUGAAAUGUUCCUAUUGGGAUUUUAAGAUGAUAUUAAAUACUCAUUUUCUCAGCUCUCAAGUCUGGAUUCAAUUGAGAGGCAGACAGAUUUGGGCAAAUGAGAUAAAAUAUUUGUUUUGUAUUGAUAAAUGGUUGGAUUGGCAGAUAUUGCCUUGUAUUGAGUAUGGUCGUAAAGACAUCACUAAUAUUUAACUUAUCUACCUAUUUAUUUUCCCUCACUUUGAAGUGUGGUUAGAAUUUGGAGGAAGCAAUUUCAUGAAGGUAGAAAUAAGAUUGCCCUCAUAAAAUAUGUUAUGUCCUCAUAAAAUAAAUAUUUAUAUAUUAUAUAUAAAAUAUAUAAAUUUAUUAUCUGAUCCUUCCCAAGAGAGAUUCCGCACCUCUGGUUGCCCUUAGGCUUAAUCAUUAAGCCAGAACCAUAAAGAGAACAAAAAACAUUACCUGUGCCCAACGUUUUAUGGCCUUUGUCACUCCUCAAGUAGUCUCUCCAAAGGAGGAAUGUCUGACGUGGUAAGUAAGUUUGAGAGGAAACUGGAUUUUGUUGGAUCCACCCCUUCUGAAGUCUCUUGUUGUCUUCCUCCCUCAAGAGAUGUCUGCCCUAUUUUCCACUUGUUUGGAAACUAUCUCCCCUGUCUGGUGUCCUUGCAGCUGUGCAUCUGUCAGUCUGUGCUGGUCUCACAUCGAGGUCACGCUGAUGAAAAAGGAACUACAGUACUGUUAUGUCAGUAACAUACAUCACAGUCGUACGUCUCCAGGCUUCUUAUCUUCCUUUGAACCUGACCUGGCUACUGUUUGGUGGAUUAUAGAGGAAAAGCUGUAAUGGGAAAGUAGGUUGGGUGAAGGGAUGAGAAAAAGGAAAGCAUCGUGGAGCACAUUAGCAGGCUUUCUCCAUGAAGAAGCAGGAUGAGUACCUUCUCACUGCCAAAGUAGUUGGAGGGACAUCAAACACCAGUGAUGGGAACACUGAACCUCACAUAAGGGGCAAUGCAGCAUCUCUGCCUUCUUCUGGGUAUUCCUCUUAAAUGGCUUGACAAUAACCACCAACCAGCACUGCCAUACAUGUGUCCUGUACCUAUCAGAGGCACUAGGGCAGUUUUGGAACAGAGAGCCCAUAGAAAGGCUACUGCUUAGAGAUAGCCAUUUUCUUCUUGGAGCUGGACCAGUGAAUUAGACGCAUGGAGGAGAGCUGGAAAAUCCCUUUUUGGAAGAGCUACACAAAACCAAAAUUUGGAAUUCGUAGCUAAUAACCAUAAAAAUUAAGAAAUGACUGUUGGAAGAGCACUGGAAAUCACCUGAUUAAGUUAAGAAAAACUAACUAGCUCAUGAGAAAAUUAUUUUCAGGCCAGCUGUAGCCUGUACCCUUUUGAAAAUCCCCUGACUAGUGAGUUCAUUUUUGUUGGAAUAUAGAAUUUUUCUUUUCUAAGCAGAUGUAAACUUGUCUUUCUGUGGUUGGCUUUGGAGCCCACAAGAUAAUUAAAUGGCAGUGCUAACUGAAAGCCUGGGCUGUGCUUAUAGGCAGGCCGUUCCUGAGAUCUUCCCAAAACCAAAGGUAUUGAAGAGACACAUGUAAC